GUUCAUGGCAGUUUAAUGGAGCCACCUUCCUCUAGACAGCAGAUCAAACCUCAUGGAGCGUGGUGGCAUGAUGCUUCCACCACAAUGGUCCACCAUGGAAAUGGUCUGAUUAGGGUGACGAUCCUGGUGUCCUCCGGAGUCUUGGUGUUCCUCCAGGAAAGCGAACAGAGGAAGUGUCUGUGGAAGACAUAAGAACCGACGAGGCUGGUCUUCCCACUCUGACGCCAUUCUGGC